AACGAGGCGAACCGGGGGAACUGAAACAUCUAAGUACCCCGAGGAAAAGAAAUCAACCGAGAUUCCCCCAGUAGCGGCGAGCGAACGGGGAGCAGCCCGGAGUCUGAAUCAGCUUGUGUGUUAGUGGAAGCGUCUGGAAAGUCGCAGGGUACAGGGUGAUACUCCCGUACACUAAAGCACACAGGUUGUGAACUCGAAGAGUAGGGCGGGACACGUGGUAUCCUGUCUGAAUAUGGGGGGACCAUCCUCCAAGGCUAAAUACUCCUGACUGACCGAUAGUGAACCAGUACCGUGAGGGAAAGGCGAAAAGAACCCCGGCGAGGGGAGUGAAAAAGAACCUGAAACCGUGUACGUACAAGCAGUAGGAGCCUCUUUAUGGGGUGACUGCGUACCUUUUGUAUAAUGGGUCAGCGACUUAUAUUCUGUAGCAAGGUUAACCGUAUAGGGGAGCCGCAGGGAAACCGAGUCUUAACUGGGCGUUAAGUUGCAGGGUAUAGACCCGAAACCCGGUGAUCUAGCCAUGGGCAGGUUGAAGGUUGGGUAACACUAACUGGAGGACCGAACCGACUAAUGUUGAAAAAUUAGCGGAUGACUUGUGGCUGGGGGUGAAAGGCCAAUCAAACCGGGAGAUAGCUGGUUCUCCCCGAAAGCUAUUUAGGUAGCGCCUCGUGAACUCAUCUUCGGGGGUAGAGCACUGUUUCGGCUAGGGGGUCAUCCCGACUUACCAACCCGAUGCAAACUACGAAUACCGAAGAAUGUUAUCACGGGAGACACACGGCGGGUGCUAACGUCCGUCGUGAAGAGGGAAACAACCCAGACCGCCAGCUAAGGUCCCAAAGUCAUGGUUAAGUGGGAAACGAUGUGGGAAGGCCCAGACAGCCAGGAUGUUGGCUUAGAAGCAGCCAUCAUUUAAAGAAAGCGUAAUAGCUCACUGGUCGAGUCGGCCUGCGCGGAAGAUGUAACGGGGCUAAACCAUGCACCGAAGCUGCGGCAGCGACACUAUGUGUUGUUGGGUAGGGGAGCGUUCUGUAAGCCGUUGAAGGUGGCCUGUGAGGGUUGCUGGAGGUAUCAGAAGUGCGAAUGCUGACAUAAGUAACGAUAAUGCGGGUGAAAAACCCGCACGCCGGAAGACCAAGGGUUCCUGUCCAACGUUAAUCGGGGCAGGGUGAGUCGACCCCUAAGGCGAGGCCGAAAGGCGUAGUCGAUGGGAAACAGGUUAAUAUUCCUGUACUCGGUGUUACUGCGAAGGGGGGACGGAGAAGGCUAUGUUGGCCGGGCGACGGUUGUCCCGGUUUAAGCAUGUAGGCGGAUGUUCCAGGUAAAUCCGGAACGUUAUCAACGCUGAGGUGUGAUGACGAGGCACUACGGUGCUGAAGUGACAAAUGCCCUGCUUCCAGGAAAAGCCUCUAAGCAUCAGGUAACAUCAAAUCGUACCCCAAACCGACACAGGUGGUCAGGUAGAGAAUACCAAGGCGCUUGAGAGAACUCGGGUGAAGGAACUAGGCAAAAUGGUGCCGUAACUUCGGGAGAAGGCACGCUGAUAUGUAGGUGAAGUGGUUUACCCAUGGAGCUGAAAUCAGUCGAAGAUACCAGCUGGCUGCAACUGUUUAUUAAAAACACAGCACUGUGCAAACACGAAAGUGGACGUAUACGGUGUGACGCCUGCCCGGUGCCGGAAGGUUAAUUGAUGGGGUUAUCCGUAAGGAGAAGCUCUUGAUCGAAGCCCCGGUAAACGGCGGCCGUAACUAUAACGGUCCUAAGGUAGCGAAAUUCCUUGUCGGGUAAGUUCCGACCUGCACGAAUGGCGUAAUGAUGGCCAGGCUGUCUCCACCCGAGACUCAGUGAAAUUGAACUCGCUGUGAAGAUGCAGUGUACCCGCGGCAAGACGGAAAGACCCCGUGAACCUUUACUAUAGCUUGACACUGAACACUGGUCCUUGAUGUGUAGGAUAGGUGGGAGGCUUUGAAGUGUGGACGCCAGUCUGCAUGGAGCCAUCCUUGAAAUACCACCCUUUAAUGGCUGGUGUUCUAACGUGGGCCCCUAAUCGGGGUUGCGGACAGUGUCUGGUGGGUAGUUUGACUGGGGCGGUCUCCUCCUAAAGAGUAACGGAGGAGCACGAAGGUCAGCUAAUCCUGGUCGGACAUCAGGAGGUUAGUGCAAUGGCAUAAGCUGGCUUGACUGCGAGCGUGACGGCGCGAGCAGGUGCGAAAGCAGGUCAUAGUGAUCCGGUGGUUCUGAAUGGAAGGGCCAUCGCUCAACGGAUAAAAGGUACUCCGGGGAUAACAGGCUGAUACCGCCCAAGAGUUCAUAUCGACGGCGGUGUUUGGCACCUCGAUGUCGGCUCAUCACAUCCUGGGGCUGAAGUAGGUCCCAAGGGUAUGGCUGUUCGCCAUUUAAAGUGGUACGCGAGCUGGGUUUAGAACGUCGUGAGACAGUUCGGUCCCUAUCUGCCGUGGGCGCUGGAGAAUUGAGGGGGGCUGCUCCUAGUACGAGAGGACCGGAGUGGACGCAUCACUGGUGUUCGGGUUGUCAUGCCAAUGGCAUUGCCCGGUAGCUAAAUGCGGAAGAGAUAAGUGCUGAAAGCAUCUAAGCACGAAACUUGCCCCGAGAUGAGUUCUCCCUGACUCCUUGAGAGUCCUGAAGGAACGUUGAAGACGACGACGUUGAUAGGCCGGGUGUGUAAGCGCAGCGAUGCGUUGAGCUAACCGGUACUAAUGAACCGUGAGGCUUAACCUU
rnacentral:rRNA from 1 species